rnacentral:rRNA from 1 species
UACAGAGGGGGCAAGCGUUGUUCGGAAUUACUGGGCGUAAAGGGCGCGUAGGCGGCUUCGAUAGUUGGGCGUGAAAUGCCUGGGCUCAACCCAGGAAUUGCGCUCAAUACUGUGAGGCUCGAGUGUGGGAGAGGAUAGUGGAAUUCCCAGUGUAGAGGUGAAAUUCGUAGAGAUUGGGAAGAACACCAGUGGCGAAGGCGGCUAUCUGGACGGUUUCUGACGCUAAGACGCGAAAGCGUGGGGAGCAAACAGG